CGGCUCAGUAACACGUAGUCAAUCUGCCCUAUGGACGUGGAUAACCUCGGGAAACUGAGAAUAAUCCGCGAUAGAUCAUAAUGCCUGGAACGGUUUAUGGUCCAAAUGAUUCGUCGCCAUAGGAUGGGACUGCGGCCUAUCAGCUUGUUGGUGAGGUAAUGGCCCACCAAGGCUAUUACAGGUACGGGCUCUGAGAGGAGAAGCCCGGAGAUGGGUACUGAGACACGGACCCAGGCCCUAUGGGGCGCAGCAGGCGAGAAACCUUUGCAAUGUGCGCAAGCACGACAAGGUUAAUCCGAGUGUUUCCUGCUAAAGGAAUCUUUUGUUAGUUCUAAAACCACUGAUGAAUAAGGGGUGGGCAAGUUCUGGUGUCAGCCGCCGCGGUAAAACCAGCACCUCAAGUGGUCAGGAGGAUUAUUGGGCCUAAAGCAUCCGUAGCCGGUUCUGUAAGUUUCCGGUUAAAUCCACUAGCUCAACUAAUGGGCUGCCGGAAAUACUGCANAACUAGGGAGUGGGAGAGGUAGACGGUACUCGGGAGGAAGGGGUAAAAUCCUUUGAUCUCUUGAUGACCACCUGUGGCGAAGGCGGUCUACCANAACACGUUCGACGGUGAGGGAUGAAAGCUGGGGGAGCAAACCGGAUUAGAUACCCGGGUAGUCCCAGCUGUAAACGAUGCAAACUCGGUGAUGCACUGGCUUUUGGCCAGUGCAGUGCCGCAGGGAAGCCGUUAAGUUUGCCGCCUGGGAAGUACGUACGCAAGUAUGAAACUUAAAGGAAUUGGCGGGGGAGCACCACAAGGGGUGAAGCCUGCGGUUCAAUUGGAUUCAACGCCGGAAAGGGCGAAUUCNUUUAACCUGCAGGACUAGUC
rnacentral:rRNA from 1 species